rfam:Morus notabilis contig6741, whole genome shotgun sequence.
UAACCAUGGUGAGGACACUGAUUUAACAGAUCCUUGAACUGUUCCCAAACUUGAUACAGAGUUUCAUUGUCCUUCUGGGUAAAGGUCGAGAUCUGUCGCUUCUGACCAU